UGGGGAAUAUUGGACAAUGGGCGCAAGCCUGAUCCAGCCAUGCCGCGUGAGUGAAGAAGGCCUUAGGGUUGUAAAGCUCUUUUAGUAGGGAAGAUAAUGACGGUACCUACAGAAAAAGCCCCGGCUAACUCCGUGCCAGCAGCCGCGGUAAUACGGAGGGGGCUAGCGUUGUUCGGAAUUACUGGGCGUAAAGCGCACGUAGGCGGUUUAUUAAGUCAGAUGUGAAAUCCCAGGGCUUAACCCUGGAACUGCAUUUGAAACUAAUAAACUUGAGUUAGGUAGAGGAGAGUGGAAUUCCCAGUGUAGAGGUGAAAUUCGUAGAUAUUGGGAGGAACAUCGGAGGCGAAGGCGGCUCUCUGGACCUAAACUGACGCUAAGGUGCGAAAGCGUGGGUAGCAAACAGGAUUAGAUACCCUCGUAGUCCCUGAGCGGGCUGGCAAGGCGCAU
rnacentral:rRNA from 1 species